CACGGUCGUGCAUUAUUGAAGUCGUGGCCAUUGUUUCCAGCCCAAAAUCAUAGAGUUCACUUCGCCCGUUUCCUUUACACGAAAGCCACUCAAGCCAUUUGGUCCAGAUCUCUGCCCUAAGUGUCUACUUCCUUCGCACAAAAGUCAUUCCAGUUGUUUAUCGUCGACGCCGCACCACUCAAGGCAAAGAGAAGCCAUUGAAGCUGCUCACAGAUGGAGGCGCCUUAAUGCAGCCGAGGCCCAACUCAAGCAGCAGUGUAUAGCCCGUAGCAGCAGCAGCCGGUCGCAGCAGCAGCAGGCCGUCGUAGCAGCACCACUUCGUCGCAGCAGCCCCAGCACAUCCUGCCGUGAGUUUGGAAAAAUAGGCUCAAUCCACAUUAUGCCGCCCUUUACCCGUGGGCGAGUUGAACCUCGGGAGCGCCAAAGGAGACACGUCGAAGCAUGACCACUUCAGACGAAGUCCAUGGGAUGUACAAAAUGUCCUAGCCAAGGAGUGGAACCAUGGGAUAAUAUUGCCCAUGGUAACGAAGACGAAGUAAGACCACGAAUACAAAACAAGACCUCAGUGCAGGAAGCCGAUCGGUACAUGCAGCUCUCAGCUCAGAACUUUAUAGAAAAUUAAAUUGAAAAUCAGCAAUUUGAAUGCUAUAAUACAACCAAAGCAUUAGGAAAGGAAAUA